AGAUUGAACGCUGGCGGAAUGCUUUACACAUGCAAGUCGAGCGGCAGCGCGGGGGCAACCCUGGCGGCGAGCGGCGAACGGGUGAGUAAUACAUCGGAACAUGUCCAGUUGUGGGGGGAUAGCCCGGCGAAAGCCGGAUUAAUACCGCAUGAGCUCGAGAGAGGAAAGCGGGGGGACCGUAAGGCCUCGCGCGACUGGGUUGGCCGAUGUCCGAUUAGCUAGUUGGCGGGGUAAUGGCCCACCAAGGCGAUGAUCGGUAGCUGGUCUGAGAGGAUGAUCAGCCACACUGGGACUGAGACACGGCCCAGACUCCUACGGGAGGCAGCAGUGGGAAUUUUGGACAAUGGGGGAAACCCUGAUCCAGCCAUUCCGCGUGAGUGAAGAAGGCCUUCGGGUUGUAAAGCUCUUUUGUCCGGAGCGAAACGGUUACGGUAGAAUAUCGUGACUACUGACGGUACCGGAAGAAGUAACGACACCGCUAACUACGUCGACC
rnacentral:rRNA from 1 species